AGUGGACGCGAGCAUCUUUGUGGCCAAGUUGUUUAGGGCACACGGUGGAUGCCUUGGCAUCAGGAGCCGAUGAAGGACGUGGGAGGCUGCGUUAAGCCUCGGGGAGUCGCCAACCAGACGUUGAUCCGGGGAUGUCCGAAUGGGGAAACCUAGCACCAGUCAUGUGGUGUUGCCGCCGUCUGAAUGUAUAGGGCGGUUGGUGGUAACGCGGGGAAGUGAAACAUCUCAGUACCCGUAGGAGAAGAAAACAAAUUAGUGAUUCCGUGAGUAGUGGUGAGCGAAAGCGGAGGAGGCUAAACCGUGCGCGUGUGAUAGCCGGCGGGCGUUGCGUGUGCGGGGUUGUGGGACCUUCCGGGGGAGACCGCCGUCUCUUCAGGCAGUGAGAAAUCGGUGGGGUAGUCGAACGCUCUGGGAAGGGCGGCCGUAGACCGUGAUAGCCGGGUAGGCGAAAUCUUGCCGACUGCUGGGAGUGUUCCCGAGUAGCACGGGGCUCGAGGAAUCCUGUGUGAAUCUGCCAGGACCACCUGGUAAGCCUAAAUACUUCCUGGUGACCGAUAGUGAACGAGUACCGUGAGGGAAAGGUGAAAAGCGCCCCGGUGAGGGGUCGUGAAAUAGUACCUGAAACCGUGUGCCUACAAGCCGUAGGAGCGUAAACGGGUUCGCCCGUUUGUGAUGUGACUGCGUGCCUUUUGAAGAAUGAGCCUGCGAGUUAUGGUGUGUGGCGAGGUUAACCCGUGUGGGGGAGCCGUAGCGAAAGCGAGUCUGAAUAGGGCGUUUGAGUCGCAUGCUGUAGACCCGAAGCGGGGUGAUCUACGCAUGGGCAGGUUGAAGCGUGGGUAAGACUGCGUGGAGGACCGAACCCACCAGGGUUGAAAACCUGGGGGAUGACCUGUGUGUAGGGGUGAAAGGCCAAUCAAACUCCGUGAUAGCUGGUUCUCCCCGAAAUGCAUUUAGGUGCAGCGUUGCGUGGUGCUUGCCGGAGGUAGGGCUCUGGAUGGCUGAUGGGCCCGACAAGGUUACUGACGUCAGCCAAACUUCGAAUGCCGGUAAGUUGAGCGUGGCAGUGAGACUGCGGGGGAUAAGCUCCGUGGUCGAGAGGGAAACAGCCCAGAUCACCGACUAAGGCCCCUAAGCGUGUGCUAAGUGGGAAAGGAUGUGGAGUCGCAGUGACAACCAGGAGGUUGGCUUAGAAGCAGCCAUCCUUGAAAGAGUGCGUAAUAGCUCACUGGUCAAGUGAUUCUGCGCCGACAAUGUAGCGGGGCUCAAGUACACCGCCGAAGUCGUGGCACCGCCGGCUGACUUUGUCAGUUGGUGGUGGGUAGGGGAGCGUCGUGCGAGCCGGUGAAGCCGCCGAGUGAUCGUGUGGUGGAGGUCGUGCGAGUGAGAAUGCAGGCAUGAGUAGCGAGUCAGAAGUGAGAAUCUUCUGCGCCGGAUGACCAAGGGUUCCUGGGGCAGGUUCGUCCGCCCAGGGUAAGUCGGGACCUAAGGCGAGGCCGACAGGCGUAGUCGAUGGACAACGGGUUGAUAUUCCCGUACCCGCUGUGAUGCGCCCAUAUCGAAUCCAGUGAUACUAAGGGUCCUUAAGCCCUCCGAGCCUUCGGGUUUGGGGUGAGGCUGAACGCCUGGCCUGAUCUGGUAGUAGGUAAACGAUGGGGUGACGCAGGAAGGUAGCCCAGCCCGGGCGGUGGUUGUCCCGGGGUAAGCAUGUAGGGCGAGAGAUAGGCAAAUCCGUCUCUCAUGUGCCUGAGGUGUGAUGCCGAGCCGAUUGUGGCGAAGUGGGUGAUCCUAUGCUGCCGAGAAAAGCCUCUAGUGAGUGUCGCGGCGGCCCGUACCCGAAACCGACUCAGGUGGUCAGGUAGAGAAUACCAAGGCGGUCGGGUGAACUGUGGUUAAGGAACUCGGCAAAUUGCCCCCGUAACUUCGGGAGAAGGGGGACCUUUACUGGUGAUCGGACUUGCUUCGUGAGCUGGUGGGGGUCGCAGUGGCCAGGGGGAAGCGACUGUUUACUAAAAACACAGGUCCGUGCGAAGUCGUAAGACGAUGUAUACGGACUGACGCCUGCCCGGUGCCGGAACGUUAAGGGGACCGCUUAGCACUCUUCGGGGUGCGAAGGUGAGAACUUAAGCGCCGGUAAACGGCGGUGGUAACUAUAACCAUCCUAAGGUAGCGAAAUUCCUUGUCGGGUAAGUUCCGACCUGCACGAAUGGCGUAACGACUUCCCCGCUGUCUCAACCACAGGCCCGGUGAAAUUGCAG
rnacentral:rRNA from 1 species